ensembl:lncRNA
CCUGCCUUCAGUCUGAUAUUUGCAUGUGUGUAAAUAUCCCCCUUCCGGCAGGCUGUCAGGAGCCCCUGUCUUCCCGGGAUGGACCAUGGAUCUUCUUGCUCCCUUCCACUCAUCCUGUCCUAGGAAGUUACCUGGUUUUCUGGUUGUGUCCCCCAACAUUCAGGCCACAGACCAUCCAGCAUCAGAUCUACUUUUCUGCACAUUCCAAGCUUCGUUGUCACCCGACUCUACAUAUCAGCACUCAGACUACCCGGGAAUCUUCACAGACUCCGGAAUGGAGGACCUUGUUCUUGCUUCUUAAAUGCUUUCCCAAAAAUUUCCAUGAGGGCUGGAGAGACGACUUGGGGGUGAGGAGUGCUUGCUGCUCCUGCAGAGGACCCCCAGUGCCAGGAGAGCCGACACUCUCUCCUGGCCUCCAAAAGUACUGCCCUUCCUUACACAUGUC